rnacentral:rRNA from 1 species
UACGUAGGGUGCGAGCGUUAAUCGGAAUUACUGGGCGUAAAGGGUGCGCAGGUGGUAAAUCAAGCCGGAUGUGAAAUCCCCGGGCUCAACCUGGGAAUGGCAUAUGGGACUGAUAUACUAGAGUAUGGUAGAGGGGGGUAGAAUUCCACGUGUAGCAGUGAAAUGCGUAGAGAUGUGGAGGAAUACCGAUGGCGAAGGCAGCCCCCUGGACUGAUACUGACACUCAAGCACGAAAGCGUGGGUAGCAAACAGG